UGGGGAAUAUUGGACAAUGGGCGAAAGCCUGAUCCAGCCAUGCCGCGUGUGUGAAGAAGGUCUUCGGAUUGUAAAGCACUUUAAGUUGGGAGGAAGGGCAUUAACCUAAUACGUUAGUGUUUUGACGUUACCGACAGAAUAAGCACCGGCUAACUCUGUGCCAGCAGCCGCGGUAAUACAGAGGGUGCAAGCGUUAAUCGGAAUUACUGGGCGUAAAGCGCGCGUAGGUGGUUUGUUAAGUUGAAUGUGAAAUCCCCGGGCUCAACCUGGGAACUGCAUCCAAAACUGGCAAGCUAGAGUAUGGUAGAGGGUAGUGGAAUUUCCUGUGUAGCGGUGAAAUGCGUAGAUAUAGGAAGGAACACCAGUGGCGAAGGCGACUACCUGGACUGAUACUGACACUGAGGUGCGAAAGCGUGGGGAGCGAAAACAGGAUUAGAUACCCUGGUAGUCCACGCCGUAAACGAUGUCAACUAGCCGUUGGGAGUCUUGAACUC
rnacentral:rRNA from 1 species